rnacentral:lncRNA from 1 species
GACGACAGGCAGUGCCCGAACUCUAGGCUGGGAGUUGUGCCAUGCUGCUGCUUUCGUGGGCUGACCAGAAAAGGGUAGAAGGAUUGACGUUUACGAAGUUUUUGAAUCAGGAGGCAAGGUCGCCUUGUGCCCCCAAAAGGAUAGAAAAAGGCCUGGCAAACUGGAGAAUCGCGUCCUUACGGUGCCUACAUAUUUAUAGUACGAAUUAAACUGCUCAAGGGGUGCUAGGUUUGUCUGCAGUCCGUUUCUCCCUCAUGGUGGAAGACGCGUGGGGAAACUUGGUAACCAACUCUAAUUACAUUGGUGAUUGGAAGACUCGUUACAUCCUGUUUUUAUGUUGCAAUAAAACGUCUUGUGGCCGGGCGCGGUGGCUCACGCCUGUAAUCCCAGCACUUUGGAAGGCCGAGGCGGGCGGAUCACCUGAGAUUGGGAGUUCAAGAUCAGCCUGACCAACAAGGAGAAACCCGUCUCUACUAAGAGACGUACAGGAAUUUGAGAAUCUGAUUAAUUUUUUUUCUGCUCUCUCACCUCUGGCAGAAAGAUUAUUAUUUUUUUUUCUUUUGAGAGGAAUCUCACACUGUCGCCUGGGCUGGUGUUCAGUAGGGCCAUCUCGGCUCGCUGCAGCCUCCACCUCCCGGGUUCAAGCGAUUCUCCUGCCUCAGCCUCCCGAGUAGCUGGGACUACAGGCACGCGCCACCACGCCCGGCUAAUUUUUGUAUUUUUAGUAGAGACGGGGUUUCACUAUGUUGGCCAGGCUGGUCUCGAACUCCUGACCUCGUGAUCCGCCUGCCUCGGCCUCCCAAAGUGCUGGGAUUACAAACGUAAUGGCAGGCUAGGCACAGUGGCUCACGCCUAUAAUCCCAGAACUUUGGGAGGCCGAGGCGGGUGGAUCACGAGGUCAAGAGAUUGAGACCAUCCUGGCCAACACGGUGAAACCCCGUCUCUACUAAAAAUACAAAAAAUUAGCUCGGCCUGGUGGCGCGCGCCUGUAGCCCCAGCUACUUGGGAGGCUGAGACAGGAGACUCGCUUGAACCUGGGAGGCGGAGGUUGCAGUGAACCGGGAUCGUGCCACUGCAAUCCAACCUGGCGACAGAGUGAGACUCCGUCUGGAAAAAAAAAAAAAAGGCAACUGUAAAGUCCUCUAAUCUUUGUUAAGUAGAAGAAUAGAUUGCAGAAAAGAACAGUGUUGGCCGGGCGCGGUGGCUCACACCUGUAAUCCCAACACUUUGAGAGGCUGAGGCGGGCAGAUCACUUGAGGUCAGGGGUUCAAGACAAGCCUGGCCAAUAUGGUGAAACCCUGUCUCUACUAAAAAUACAAAAAUCAGCUGGGUGUGGUGGCUCAUGCCUGUAGUCCCAGAUACUCGGGAGGCUGGGGCUGGAGAAUCGUUUGAACCCGGGAGGCGGAGGUUGCAGUGAGCCGAGAUCAUGCCAUUGCACUCCAGUCUGGGUGUUAAAGAAAAGAACGGUGUCAUUUAAGUCCAAUCAAGAUUAAACCAAAACAACCAUGAGUGGGAUUUAUAUUGUGCUGGAUUCAAACCCUGGCUCUAACAGUAGUUGUGCCUUGGACAGAUUACUUAACCUAAGCCUCCAUUUUGAUGAAAAUUAAAAUAGAGUUCAUAACAUCUAUUUCAGAGAGUUGUGGGAGUUAAAGGAAGCAGCCAAUAAAGCCAUUCACAAUCAGUAGGUGUUUUUUUUUUUUCCAAAAAAAAAGGAAAUACUUGAUGAGUUUGUAUGUCUUGUGUUUGAUUUUUUCCCCUUCUUUAAUUUGAAAUAAUUAUAGAUUCACAGGAAAUUGCAAAUAUAGCAGAGUCCCAUAUACCCUUCACCCACCUUCCUCUGAUCAUUGCCUCUUACGUGAUUAUAGUACAAUAUUAAAACCAGGAAACUGACAUCUGUAAAAUAUUGUUAACCAGACCACAGGCUUUAUUCCAAUUUCACCAGUUUUUACAUGCACUAGCUUGUGUGUGUGUGUGUGUGUCCUGUGUUACCCUUUCAUAGUGCUAUCCCUUAUAGUACUACAUAUUAAUAGUUGCACCAGUCCACUGUCCUCCUCCCUGUUCUUUGGCAAUCACUAAUUUGUUCUCCACGGCUAUACUUACGUCCUUUCAAGAAUAUUAUAAAAGUGGAAUCAUAUAGUAUGCAACUUUGGGGAUCAACUUUUUUUUUCAUCCACCAAAAUGUCCUUGAG